rnacentral:lncRNA from 1 species
UUUCCUGUAAGGGAGGUAACCGAAAUAUUAAACUGCUUCCUUGCUAAGUCUACGUCCGAUUUACGUCUGGAUAUUAGUGCUAGACACCAGUUUUGAAAACGCUUGCGCAGGAGAGAGUAGGAAAUUUACAUCAAAAUGUCACGUUAUUCAAGGCCUCCAAAUACAUCUUUAUAUGUCAGAAAUGUUAACGAAGGAGCAAGGUUAUUUUUCAUUCAUUUUCCAAGUUGACUAGAAAUCGCAUAUUUACUGCACACUAUAUAAUUUUUAUAGUCACUAAUUUUAGAGUAGCCCAGUCUUUGGAUCACUGUCCAUCGCCUCAUUUAUACUUUUCCGCCAUUUCUUGCUCUCACUGUCGUUCCUGUAUAAUUUUGUUGUCACGGACUCAAUAUAAAAUUGAUAUUUUCUAGUCUGACAAGAAAAGGUAUGGAAGAGAAUCACUGUUUCAAAAACGAUUUGGACUGCUCGCUAGCCUAAAGUCAUGUUAACCAGGCAAUAGUCCAAAUAGUUAUGACUUGAAAGGCUAUAAUUUAUAAUUUAUAAUUUUUUUCUUUGACGCCUUACUUCGACGUCAUAAUGCUGAAGCCGCCAUUUUCGGUUGGACUUUGAGAGCAUAUUUUGCUCUCAAAGUACUUUGAGACCAAAUUUAGCCAUCAAAUUUUCAUUGAAGGCUAAAAAAAAAUGCAUUUAUAAAAAUUCUUACCUUUUAUGUGUUUGUUUGUGUAAAAUAUUUCCAAAUCAUCCCUACAGAAGUAAUAAUAUAAAUAACAAUUCCAUCCGAGGCGGGAACAUGUCGACUGCAUUUUUUAAAACGUUUAUCUGAUUUCUUUUUAGGAGAUAGUAAAAUAAUUUUUACACCAAACCCGGUAAAAUUUGGACAGACCCGAAUUUCCAGAACCUUUGUUUUACAUUCUCCGGAAAUUCAGGUCCGUCAAAAUGUACCGAGGUUGGUUCAAAAAUAUAUUUUAUACUCAUAAAAUGAAGCAUCUUAAGGAGAAAUCAGCUAAACGUUUUAAUAAAGCAGUGAAUUCCCUCUCAAAGUCCAACUGAAAUUAUGAGUUUGUGGCGUUAUGACGUCGAAGUAAGGCCAGGGCUCACGCUACCAGGCGACUUGGGCGAAGAAGUCGCCCUCCCGUCUGUCACUUCGCUUUCCCCGACCCCCAAAAGCGAAAACAAGUCGCCCUGUUCUUGACGAAAGUCGCUUUCAGUCGCUUCCGUCAUCGGACAUUUUCAAUUUUUACCAAGUUGAUGAAACAUUAAUUUUUAACUGAUAAUUAAAGAAAUUCAGACAUAAACUAUUCAUUAUCUUUAGAAAAGAGGUUGAAGCAUUGUCUUCGCAGUGUGUAUCAGGUUAUUUGAUAAAAAUACAACUUUUUAUCACUUCGUGCAUUUUCGCAAGUUCCGGUGCUUGUUACUCGAAAACGUACAUCAACCUAAAUUUCGGCGGCAAAAUAAGUUUGUUACUUCAUUUAAAGGUGAUAAAAGUUGCCUCCAGUAAAUGUUAAUCCAUUUAUUGCAUUAAAACCGUCAGUUCCUUUCCAAAUAACUUUCAAAACAUCGUUUAUUUUUGUAAAUUUUCUUGCAUUCUUCCGCCAUUGACCGAUUUCUAAACUACGGAUCUGAACCGGACCAGCUAUGACCGAAAUCCGCACUUUUACAAUAAUUACUACGGACGCACGGAUGGAACAGCUGACAGAAGAAUAUUGAUCCCAAAGGGAAAAAUUACGCAUCCCACACGCAUUAAGAGACUUUUGGUUACUAAUUCUAUUGAUGGUAUAUAUAAAUUCCCUAUAUUUUUUAUGAAUUUUCAAACUAUUGAUUAAAGUUGCUUAACUCUGAGACUAUUAUACUAAUAUCAAUAUAUUAUGGCCCAGCUUAAUAACUUUUAUAUUUUUUUUAUGAGAAACACUGAAUUUCAUACACAAGAUAAAUUUUAAUUAAAUUGUAAUUGAUAUAAUUUCUUUACAUUUUUUAAAAUAAUUUUUUUUUUUUUAGUGCUAGAUAUUUAGUUGGUAGUUUCUCACAAGAACCUUAGUAAAACUUAAACAACUUUUAAUUUCAAAUGUUACUUUAAAAAAUAAUUGUAAUUUUUUACUCAUAUGAAUUGAACAACAUAAAAAGAACAUUAUUUACAUAUGGCCCUUUAUACUAUUGUAAAAUCCAAACAUUGUAGCGCACCCACGCGAAUGCACUUUCCUUUCAAAUCUCACCACUUCUCUAUCAGUUUCAAAAAGAGAAGUCACUUCUCCCUAUAAUUCUGAAGUAGUGUGAGCCCUGAACGUCAAAGAAAAAAUUAUAAUAGCCUUUCAAGACGUCAUAAUUAUUUGGACUAGUUAACCAACAGCAACUCGUCCCAAUUCGUCCUUAUAAUUUGGUAUUUGGAUAUAUGCUUGGUGGACCAGAUAAUCAACACCAUUUCAACUAUUGACGCCAUACAACUGUCACUUUUCCACUGGGGCGUCAGAUAUUUUGCAUUGUGAUGUCAAAAUUUACGGGAACCUUUUGUGAUGGCGGACAAAUAGAGAGAUAUAUUUCUUAAUAGCGCAGACCUUCUGACCCAGUCAUGGUUAACUAACUCCUCCCACUGACUGAUCAAAUGAUUAAGUGACUUGUCAUUAAUGAUAGAGCAAAAAAAAAUUAAAAAAAAUAUUUUAAGUUAUUUAUUUUUAUGACACAAGCAAUAUAGGGUAAAUGGACACCCUGGGGAAUUAACAAAUGAUUAAGGAAAAAAUGUAGUUAGAGUCAUUUAAAGUGAAGUCAAAUGAUACUACACACCUUACAAAAGAGAUUCAAUUUUAAUAUACUUGAAUGGCUUAUUAACUACAUUUACUACAAAAUAAUUUAUGUGUACUUAAGUUAAAAUAAGAUUAUAAAAUUGAAAAGAAAUGUUAAUGUUUAUUAAACUUUACUAAAGAUUUUUUGGGGGGAUUUCAACCAGCUGAAUUUAAGAGUUUGCUUAAUCAAGUGUUUUAAAGUUUUAUUUAGAACUUUUGCUAGUUAGUUUACAAUGUAUUGUUUAUGUUAAUUUAGGGAAGAUGAAAUGAGAGCGAUGUUUGGUAAAUAUGGACCAUUGAAAGAUGUCUAUAUACCAUUAGACUAUUAUUCUAGGCUACCUAGAGGAUUUGCAUAUAUUCAAUAUCCUUUCAUUAAAAAGAUGUACAAACUGAACUACUCAUUAU